GACGAACGCUGGCGGCGUGCUUAACACAUGCAAGUCGAACGCUGAAGCUCCCUGCUUGCAGGGGGUGGAUGAGUGGCGAACGGGUGAGUAACACGUGAGUAACCUGCCCAUGUCUCUGGGAUAAGCGCUGGAAACGGCGUCUAAUACUGGAUACGACCCAUGCCGGCAUCGGUAGUGGGUGGAAAGAUUUAUCGGAGAUGGAUGGACUCGCGGCCUAUCAGCUUGAUGGUGAGGUAAUGGCUCACCAUGGCGACGACGGGUAGCCGGCCUGAGAGGGUGACCGGCCACACUGGGACUGAGACACGGCCCAGACUCCUACGGGAGGCAGCAGUGGGGAAUAUUGCACAAUGGGCGCAAGCCUGAUGCAGCAACGCCGCGUGAGGGAUGACGGCCUUCGGGUUGUAAACCUCUUUUGUCAGGGAAGAAGCCUUUGGGUGACGGUACCUGGAGAAAAAGCACCGGCUAACUACGUGCCAGCCGCCGCCGUAACAC
rnacentral:rRNA from 1 species